GAAAUGCGAUAAGUAGUGUGAAUUGCAGAAUUCAGUGAAUCAUCGAAUCUUUGAACGCACAUUGCGCCUCCUGGUAUUCCGGGAGGCAUGCCUGUUCGAGCGUCAUCAAAAACCUCAGUCCGAGACUUUGUCGAGGAUUGGUCGUGCGUUGGAGGCGUCAGCUUCCUCUGCGAAAUACAAUGGCGAUGAGCCACGCAACCAAAGCGUAGUAAUUUAUUCUCGUGAUGGAAACGUGAGCGCAUCCGCCGCAACCCCCCCAUUCUAAGUUUUUGACCUCGGAUCAGGUAGGGAUACCCGCUGAACUUAA
rnacentral:misc_RNA from 1 species